rnacentral:hammerhead_ribozyme from 1 species
AUCCAAUUGACGAGUACUAAAUAGGACGAAACGUGCGUCAAACUAGAU